rnacentral:rRNA from 1 species
AUUGAACGCUGGCGGAAUGCUUUACACAUGCAAGUCGAACGGCAGCACGGGAGCUUGCUCCUGGUGGCGAGUGGCGAACGGGUGAGUAACAUAUCGGAACGUACCCAGUCGUGGGGGAUAACUAUCCGAAAGGAUAGCUAAUACCGCAUACGUCCUGAGGGAGAAAGCGGGGGAUCGCAAGACCUCGCGCGAUUGGAGCGGCCGAUAUCGGAUUAGCUAGUUGGUGGGGUAAAGGCUCACCAAGGCGACGAUCCGUAGCGGGUCUGUGAGGACGACCCGCCACACUGGAACUGAGACACGGUCCAGACUCCUACGGGAGGCAGCAGUGGGGAAUUUUGGACAAUGGGGGCAACCCUGAUCCAGCCAUUCCGCGUGAGUGAAGAAGGCCUUCGGGUUGUAAAGCUCUUUCAGCAGGAACGAAACGGUCGGCUUUAAUAAAGUCGGCUAAUGACGGUACCUGCAGAAGAAGCACCGGCUAACUACGUG